CAUCUGCCACUGUUCUGGUAUGGAGCAGCAGAUUUUUUUUUUGUAAGCCAAAGGUGCUUCUAAAUCUGACUGAAAGCAUGUGAGAGAAAACUAGGUCUCACAGUAUGAGAGUGAUGAGUUUCCUCAAUCAGUAUUUCAUUUUUAGCAGAACUUCCUCUAUGACUAGGACAAUUAAAGUAGAAGUCCUUAAAAAAAAAAGCAAUGCACAGAUUCAUUUUUCCUAGGCAGUCAGCAGCCUUUCAGAAAGAUUUCUCAUCCUGCAGCAUACUUCAUGCUGAUGCAGUGCAACUCCUGGGAUGUCCUGCAGACUCAGUGUUAAAGUCCCAUUUGUCAAGGAUUCUUCUCAUGGCCUUGCUGUGAGUUUCUCCAGAUACAAAGCUGUCUCCAGAUUCCCCCCCCGACCCCAGGGAAGCUGCUGAAGCAGUUACAGCAUAUCUCAUGUAUUCAAAAAGAAAUAGGUUAAGGAUUCUUUAGUCCAAAGUCUUCACCUCUAUUCUUGCAGGGGAACAAAGGUGUCAGCUCUGUUAAUACAGACCCACAGCAGCUCUGGAACAGCUGGAAGAACGUGGCUUUGUCUCCUUGCUCUCAAAUUCACUGUAAUUAAUCUUUAGUUCCCGCUUGCCUCAAGAACAGCCCUGAACACAGGAGUGCACACAAGGCUUUGGUGUGGUAUUAAGCCUUGAAGUGAACAUGCAAGCUCUCCCUGUCCCUGCAGGACUGGGAUGUUCUUUCUCAAGAAUAGCACCAAGAAGCAGCAGAGGACAAAAUGACCCUGAAGGAGUCUUAAAACAUGACUAACAGCACGCCAGUACUUGUCACCCCGAGGCAGCACUGCCCUCUGCUCCACGCCCUGAACCCAAGCACAGCACUCUCCCUGCUCCUUUCUGAGGAGACACUGGCACCUACUGGAGACCAGAUUACAUCCAUGCUGAGGUGACUGGGAUAAAGGCAAGUAUUCUUGUAUGUGAAAAACGAGCACAUCUUGAGAAGGGAUGGAUUGUCUUGCUGCAGGGGCAGCCCUAGGAAGUGACCUCGGGGUGGCCUUCCAGGCUGGCUCCUGUCCAGAGAAACACUUGUGUAAACUCUUCCUUCUGAAAGGCUGCUGCUGUUUGAAGCUCUGCUUACAGGGGCUUUGGUCAGGAUGGGCUCCUGGUGAAAUCCCCCAAUAUAAAAAGUGCUGGUUACAUUUGUUUAGACAGAAAUCCUCCUCUGGAGACCUGCUGAGUAUGUAAAGCAGCAGGAUGUCAUCCUGCCCCCAUUUACAGUGCAUGAGUGUGAGAGCAGGGAUUGAAAUACAGCUCAGCUGCCCAGUAACAGAACUCAAAAGAGCAGCUUCAGAGAGUUUAUCAGUCUCACAUCAUCCCACCACUUCUCAACAAACUGAAUUAGCAAACGAUUUAUGCAAAUUAAAACUUACAAAUAUUAACAUACAAAGGAAGCUACUGCAGCAAGAUGCUGCACAGGAGAAAAAUCUGUCUCUAGACCAGGCUUUGCCCUCGUUUGGGGUUGCACAACAUGGCCAUCCCCCAGUGGAAACCAGGCAGGAUGUGUUGCUGCGUGCUUGGGUUAUUGGAUCUGGAGGAAUCACCCAGCUCUGGGCCCUCAGCAGUAAAGGGAUGUCCCUGCCUGGUGAAGUUUAUUUGAAGGACCUCUAAAUAUUCAAGAAAUAACAAGAGUCUCUUACUUCACAUCACCUCUACCAGGCAAGACCUGUUGCUGGACUGCUGAAGCCUGAUGGGAAAGCCCAUCCAAGGGGGAAGAGCAUCAUGGCUCCAGGACACUUUUGCAGGUUUCCCCAGGGCAGCUCCAGGCUCAGGCUGGACAUGUGGAGAUCCUGGACUGCUGACACUCCCUCUGAAGUGGGGUUAUGCCAGCUGAGUUCCCAAGACAGCACUCAAUGAUGCCUUCCUUUCAGAGCAGAGGUAUGAAAUGUUUAUUGUAGGAAAUUUUAUGUGCCCCAGAUAGUGGGCACCUCACAGCCAAGUGUUCUCUGGCUGCAUC
ensembl:lncRNA